GCCACCGCGGGCUGUCCCUGCGGCGCCACCGCGACCCCUCGUGGGAAAUGAGAAACGGGAAUGGCUUUAUCAGCUGCUCGUUGAUGGGUUUGAAUUCCGGCUUUUUUAGGAACAUUAAGUGCAUUAGUCUUCAAAUGGCCCAGCUGAAUAAAUUGUCCUAGUGGAGCAGAGAACUGUAAAAGUGUAAAAAAAUAAAAUAAUGAAAAGGAAAAAAAAAGCAAAAGAGAAAGUUCGAAGAAACAGAGUUGCAGAUGUUUUUACAGGAAUGACAUUAAAGAGAAAAUCUGCUUGGAGACAGAACCCACACACUGCCAAAUUGUUAGAAAGAAGUUGAGCACUACCAGAAGUGGAGUCGUUAUUGAAGAUGCUAGAAAGAGCAACGGGAAACUUAUUUUCUUGUCUUAGAACUGAAAAUUCUUAAUACUCCUCACAGUGGGAGCUACA